rnacentral:rRNA from 1 species
UACGUAGGGGGCUAGCGUUGUCCGGAAUCAUUGGGCGUAAAGCGCGUGUAGGCGGUCCGGUAAGUCCGCUGUGAAAGUCGGGGGCUCAACCCUCGGAUGCCGGUGGAUACUGUCGGGCUUGAGUACGGAAGAGGCGAGUGGAAUUCCUGGUGUAGCGGUGAAAUGCGCAGAUAUCGCCUGGAACGCCGACGGUGAAAACAGCUCGCUGGGGGUGUUCUGACGCUGAGACACGAAAGCCAGGGGAGCGAACGGG